CCCUGGAAACGGGGUCUAAUACCGGAUAACAGCUUCCAUCGCAUGGUGGGGGUUUGAAAGCUCCGGCGGUGCAGGAUGAGCCCGCGGCCUAUCAGCUUGUUGGUGAGGUAGUGGCUCACCAAGGCGACGACGGGUAGCCGGCCUGAGAGGGCGACCGGCCACACUGGGACUGAGACACGGCCCAGACUCCUACGGGAGGCAGCAGUGGGGAAUAUUGCACAAUGGGCGAAAGCCUGAUGCAGCGACGCCGCGUGAGGGAUGACGGCCUUCGGGUUGUAAACCUCUUUCAGCAGGGAAGAAGCGAGAGUGACGGUACCUGCAGAAGAAGCGCCGGCUAACUACGUGCCAGCAGCCGCGGUAAUACGUAGGGCGCAAGCGUUGUCCGGAAUUAUUGGGCGUAAAGAGCUCGUAGGCGGCUUGUCGCGUCGGUUGUGAAAGCCCGGGGCUUAACCCCGGGUCUGCAGUCGAUACGGGCAGGCUAGAGUUCGGUAGGGGAGAUCGGAAUUCCUGGUGUAGCGGUGAAAUGCGCAGAUAUCAGGAGGAACACCGGUGGCGAAGGCGGAUCUCUGGGCCGAUACUGACGCUGAGGAGCGAAAGCGUGGGGAGCGAACAGGAUUAGAUACCCUGGUAGUCCACGCCGUAAACGGUGGGCACUAGGUGUGGG
rnacentral:rRNA from 1 species